ensembl:lncRNA
CUGCCUGCUUAUCUUGAGCCUAAAAAUGAACUAAAAUUCAAGAGCGAUAAUAAAGUAAACCAAAGUGGGAAAAUACUUUGGUAUUUGGACUCCCAUGUCAGAGGACUGUCUCUUGCCUCUGGGGUUUGAGGAGAUGAGCCUGUCCACAGGAUGGGCCCCUCGCUCAGAUAUGAAAAUGCGUGACGUAGUCACAAACAAGACCUGGUGGAACCGAAAAUAAUAAGGGCACUUUUGGCUACUCACCCUUGUUCAGCAUUGGGGGGAAAAUAGGGGAGAUAUUAUACCUAUUGCCAUGUCAACCGUAACAACCCAACGUCUUAACAGCUCGCGGUAACUAUUCAUUUGGUUAAAUCCGAUUCAGUGUCUUCCACCUUCCCGUUGGAAAUGCCUGAGUCUCUCUCAGAUGUGAACGUUCUCUCUCCGAGGUGGUUUCCCUCUUUCGCCACGACUCUGCUUGUCGACAACGAUCCAUGGGAGAGCCUGUUUGAGUCUUUCCGCUGGUGAUGUCGCCUUUCUCCUGGCGGUAUACUCCACUGGGAUGCCCCUCGACUUCAGAUCCUCAGUCGCCUCGUCUGCAUGCUCGUAUGUCACCGGGCCAUUUUCCAGAAAUACCUGCAUUUUUGCCGGGAAGGGUGUUUGGAAGCGUAUACCCUACUCUUUAAGUGCUUUCUUAAUGGGGGUGUAAUCUUUCCUUCUUUUCAGUAUCUCUCCCGCUUAGUCAUGAUCAAAGAACACUCGUUGGCCUUGGAAUCUAACAGGAUUUUUCCAGGUUGCAUGUAAGACUUUCUCUUUGACUGAGAAUUUUAGGAACCGUACUAUUAUGGGUCUUGGUGGGGCGCUACUGAGAGGGUUUAGGGCCAGAGCUCGGUGUGCUCUCUCAAUUCCCAGUGUCGUCAGUGUCGUCUUCAAGUCUGUCUUUGAAUCGACCAUCCACGAAUUUGGGCAUAGAGUCUUUUUCUGCGCCCUCUACCACGUUAUAAAGUCUAAUGUUGUUUCGACGUGAGAAACCCUCGAGUUCUGUCACUUUUACCUGUAGCGCGUGUUGGCUUUUCAGUGAUUGUUCAAGUAUUUCCUUGACUGUGGAGUUCCAUGUGUCUGUUUGCCCAAUGCGCUGUUCUGCGUCCCCCAUUGUUAGUAUAAUUUCAUUAUUCCAAUAUGUUGUCAUUAAUUGAAUUCACUUAGUCUAUUUUAUGAGAAUUUGUAAGAUUUUUAUUUGUAUAAAAUAGACAGAGACCAGUCUUAUCAAAAAUAGAUAAUAGUAUUUAUUCUCGGAGCGCACUGCCAUGUAACCACAAACAACAGUUUAUAUACAAAAUAUGUAUUCUCAUAGGUAUUCUUUCUCCCAACAGUUCAAAAGUUCAUUCGAGAUAAACCUUCCGAAGUUUUCAUCCAUCACCAUUAAGCAGACAGUUCCAGCUAAUGGAAAACCUAAGAAGACACAUACUGCCUUAUCUGAACAUUCCAGAGCUAAGUGGAGUCGGUUCAACCAUAGGUCAAUUACUCUUUCUGCUUACUUAAAAAAACACUUCCAAUCUUCUCCAACCUGGCUGGAAUGGUAUUUAUUUAAUGUAAUUACCCCCUGUUUCAGGCUCCACAAGCCCUCACUUAUGAAUUCAUAUUGUUAAUCAGAUAUCAUAAAACAGAGUAUAAGUUUACUUAGUUACAGUUCUAUUUAAAAUGGGGAUAUUGUUUAGUCAUUAUUCAUAAAAUUCCUAAAACCCAUUCUUGUAGAUAUGCUGUGAAGUUCUUCUUUGUUUUCUCCAAGUUUCUGGUUAAUGUCCUUCUUGAACUCAUUUAGUUAUUUUCUUACAUCUUCUCGAAGUUCCUCUCGUAAGCCUGUGAGCGCCUCGUGCAAUUCCUCCUUUAUCACCUCACGAAAUGAGGGUUAUUUUGCUGCUGCUAUCUUAUUUGCGCUGGCAUUAGCCAUCUCGGGUUCAUCGACGAUUAUAUCUUCUGCUGUCUUGUUACGGGCUGUUGCUGUAGCUCCGUGACCUUUUCCUAUUUUCCCCUUUCCAUUUUGCGUAAGUUAUUACAAUGCUCAGAGUAAAUACUUGAAUUUAGGGGGGGGGAUACCCAACCGAUGUGCAGUGUGAAAAACUAGGCAGCCAUUCCUAAGUUGUGUCACCGGAACCCCCUUUUCCAACAGUUUUGAAGGAGUUCCCACAUAUGCUGAGCACUUGUUGGCUGCUUUUCCCUCACUCUGCAGUCCAACUCAUCUCACACCAUCUCAAUUGGGUUGUGGUCGGGUGAUUGUGGAGGCCAGGUCAUCUGAUGCAGCACUCCACUACUCUCCGUCUUGGUCAAAUAGCUUUUACACAGCCUGGAGGUGUGUUUGGGUUAUUGUCCUGUUGAAAAACAAAUUAUAGUCUCAGUAAGCGCAAACCAGAUGGGAUGGCAUAUCGCUGCAGAAUGCUGUGGUAGCCAUGCUGGUUAAGUGUGGCUUGAAUUCUAAAUAAAUCACAGACAGUGUCACUUGCAAAGCACCCCCACACCAUCACACCUCCUUCACCAUGCUUUACGGUGAGAACCACACAUGUACUCUGCAUCUCACAAAGACAGCGGUUGGAACUAAAAAUCUCAAAUUUGGAUUCAUCAGACCAAAGGUCAAAUUUCCACCGGUCUAAUGUCCAUUGCUCGUGUUUCUUAGCCCAAGCAAGUCUCUUCACCUUUUGGUGUCCUUUAGUAGUGGUUUCUUUGCAGCAAUUCGACCAUGAAGGCCUGAUUCACAGUCUUCUCUGAACAGUUGAUGUUGAGAUGUGUCUGUUCCUUGAACUCUGUGAAGCAUUUAUUUGGGCUGCAUUUUCUGAGGCUGGUAACUCUAAGUAAUUUAUCCUCUGCAGCAGGUCUUCCAUUCCUGUGGCAGUCCUCAUCAUAGCGGUUGAUGUAUUUUGCCACUGCACUUGAAGAAACUUUAAAAGUUCUUGAUAUUUUCCGUAUUGACUGACCUUCAUGUCUUAAAGUAAUGAUAGACUAUAAUUUUUCUUUGCUUAUUUGAGCUUGCCAUAAUUUGGACUUGGUCUUUUACCAAAUAGGGCUGUCUUCUGUAUACCACCCCUACCUUGUCCCAACACAACUGAUUGGCUCAAAUGCUUUAAGAAGGAAAGACAUUUAACAAGGCACACCUGUUAAUUGAAAUGCAUUCCAGGUGACUAACUCAUGAAGCUGAUUGAGAGAAUGCCAAGAGUGUGCAAAGCUGUCAUCAAGGCAAAGGGUGGCUACUUUGAAGAAUCUAAAAUAUAUUUUUAUUUGUUUAGUAUGCACAGCUGUCAUCAAGGCAAAGGGUAGCUACUUUGAAGAAUCUAAAAUCUAAAAUAAAUAUUUUGAUUUGUUUAUCACUUUUUUGGUUACUACAUGAUUCCAUAUGUGUUAUUUCAUAGUUUUGAUGUGUUCACUAUUAUUCUAUAAUGUAGAAAAUAUUACAAAUAGAGAAAAACCCUGGAAUGAGGUGUGUAGGUGAGUCCAAACUUUGGUUCUGUACCUUAGAUCAGGUCUGGGUGUGCCUUUAACUUCCCUUUUUUCAGUGCAACCAGGCUGGCAGCAGAGUCUGAACACAAAAUUACUAUUUUAGGCCCCAAUUCUUCCACCCAUCCCAAUGUCCACACUAGUGCUAGCAUUUCAGCAGAGAAGACUGAAACUCCAUCAGACAGCCACCUCCCCUAGUAUAUCCGAAACAAACCCUGCUCUCCCACUGCCUGGAUCCUUUGAUCCAUCUGUGAAGAUACCCAAGUAAGGAUCCUAGGCCCACCGCAGAUGGGCCACAACCUCAUGGAGACCAAAUGCAUUCCAGGUGACUACCUCAUGAAGCUGGUUGAGAGAAUGCCUAGAGUGUGCAAAGCUGUCAUCAAGGCAAAGGGUGGUUACUUUGUAGAAUCUCAAAUAUAUUUGGAUUUGUUUAACACUUUUUUUGGUUACUACAUGAUUCCAUAUGUAUUAUUUCAUAGUUUUGAUGUCUAUUAUUCUACAAUGUAGAAAUUAGUAAAAUAAAGAAAAACCCUUGAAUGAGUAGGUGUGUCCAAACUUUUGACUGGUACAGUACACACACACACGCACACACACACAAAUACAGAGAGAGACACACAGACACACAUACAGUUUUCUGUCGACAGGUUGGCAUUUCACUGACAUUUUCAUUGGAUAAUGACGUGGAAUCGCAUCUGCCCUUUAAAUAUUUGAAUCCCAGCUGCGAUAGAUUAUGGUUAUUUUAGCUUUCAGUGAAGUGCAACACUCGCUACUAGGGAAUUCCUGCCAGAGUCGAUCAGAGGUAGUGGUGUGUCCGUGUGUGAGAGUGUUCAGGAGAAUGGACGAGGCUGAAGUGGAGACAGGUCAGCAGUAGGCUUUAUUCACUGCAUGGGAAAGAUCUUGCAGCAGGGGACAUAGCUUCCAAAACAAACAACAUAACUCACCCACACCACCGUAUCCAAUGUACAGAACAGAAACAAUUUGACCUGACUGCUUCUACAUGUCCUAUAUGGCCUUCACAAAUACCGCUGUUGUCUGUGUUAUCGUGUGUGUGUGUGUGUGUGUGUGUGUGUGUGUGUGUGUGUGUGUGUGUGUGUGUGUGUGUGUGUGUGUGUGUGUGUCUGUGUGUUUGUCUGUGUGUGUGUGUGUGUGUGUGUGUGUGUCUAUCUCGUUAGAAAAAUAUAUAAUUUCAGUCUACCAGUGUGAGCACUUAUAAGGACAGGAGAGUUCCACACAGUCAAGUCAAGGCACAAACUUGAAGCGGCACAGCAGAGUACAACAGUGAACAGAACAGUAUGACAACACAGAGAAAAGCACUGUACAGGACUACUGAUGGUAGAGAAACCACCUGACUUCAUAGAGAGGGGGGGAGCGAGAAAAACCAAGAGAGAGACAUUAAAAACAUAAUUUAAACCUUAAAAAUGUACCAACAUGUAAAACAGACUGACCAAGGUCCAUCCACAGGGCCAGUGUUUCAGACUAACCAAGGUCCAUCCAUAGGGCCAGUGUAACAGACAAACCAAGGUCCAUCCACAGGGUCAGUGUUUCAGACUAACCAAGGUCCAUCCACAGGGCCAGUGUAACAGACUAACCAAGGUCCAUCCACAGGGCCAGUGUUUCAGACUAACCAAGGUCCAUCCACAGGGCCAGUGUAACAGACUAACCAAGGUCCAUCCAUAGUGCCAGUGUAACAGACUAACCAAGGUCCAUCCAUAGGGCCAGUGUAAUAGGAACACAGUGUUUUAGUACAAAGUAUUUAAGCUACUCGUUGCAUCAUAUCGUACUGUGUGUGUUAUCAUCGUUAUCCAGUGUGUUAAAUGGCUAAUGAACUGCUUCCGAUGUUAUUAAACUGUACCCCGACAUUUCAAAUGCUCUGAGACUGAUUCAUUUCACAUGUGAUGCAUAUUAUUUGUUUCUCCAUGUUUCUUUCAGAAAACAAUGCAUAUAUUUAGUGUAAAAAUCAUCUGAAAAUAUUAGACUGCCAUCCACACACCUUCAAGGUUAUCUUCCUAGCAACUGGGAGCGUCUUACUUUUGUCAUCAUAAAAGCCUCCAUUUUCUAAAUAGCAUACAUGCCCUCCUAUUCACCAGGAAAGCUUGUCAAAGAAGAUUACAUGAAGAAAUCACUGUGAAAAACACAUCUACUCAAGUAUGUGGGUGUGGUGAAAAUGUCUUGUUCCUGUACAUAACAUUAGACACUUUAACCAUUGUUUGUCCACUUCAGAAGGUGUGUCUUCUCCCUACUCGUCUGGUCGCCUCAUUUUCUAUGUAAAAAUCAAUCAAAUGAUCACAGUGCUCUUUUCUGUAGCCUCUUCUCUUUUCUCCCCUGAGAGAGCUGCAUGUGUUAUGUUCUGGUAAAUAAGUGCUUUCAAAUCCAGCAUGUAGUUAAUAAUCAGAGCACAUGUAGCACUGCAUAGUGAAGGCUGUUUUACAGACUGAAUAUUAUAAAUGUUACCAAAAAUGACCAUCACUUGUUUUGAAUACAGUGCAAUCUGUAGUUUCAUUUCUGACCAAAAAUUCAAGAAAAGGAAAACAAGUUUUGAGUGUAUGUAUGUUUGUGCCGUCACACGGGACUGAAAGUAGAUUGCACCUGUACUGGGUUGACUUCCUACUGUAUGUAUGUUUGUGCCGUCACACGGGACUGAAAGUAGAUUGCACCUGUACUGGGUUGACUUCCUACUGUAUGUAUGUUUGUGCCGUCACACGGGACUGAAAGUAGAUUGCACCUGUACUGGGUUGACUUCCUACUGUAUGUAUGUUUGUGCCGUCACACGGGACUGAAAGUAGA